rnacentral:rRNA from 1 species
AGAUUGAACGCUGGCGGCAGGCUUAACACAUGCAAGUCGAGCGGGCGGUAGCAAUACGUCAGCGGCAGACGGGUGAGUAACGCGUGGGAACAUACCUUUUGGUUCGGAACAACCCAGGGAAACUUGGGCUAAAUACCGGAUAAGCCCUUACGGGGAAAGAUUUAUCGCCGAAAGAUUGGCCCGCGUCUGAUUAGCUAGUUGGUGAGGUAACGGCUCACCAAGGCGACGAUCAGUAGCUGGUCUGAGAGGAUGAUCAGCCACAUUGGGACUGAGACACGGCCCAAACUCCUACGGGAGGCAGCAGUGGGGAAUAUUGGACAAUGGGCGCAAGCCUGAUCCAGCCAUGCCGCGUGAGUGAUGAAGGCCCUAGGGUUGUAAAGCUCUUUUGUGCGGGAAGAUAAUGACGGUACCGCAAGAAUAAGCCCGGCUAACUUCGUGCCAGCAGCCGC